rnacentral:lncRNA from 1 species
AAUCUCAUCCUAAAUCAUAAACCUACUAUAUCAAACCGCUAGCAGAAUAAAAUUUCAUUAAACCUUACCUACAUUCAAUCACAUCCUAAAUCAAAAACCUACUAUAUCAAACCGCUAGCAGAAUAAAAUUUCAUUAAACCUAACAUACAUUCAAUCUCAUUCUAAAUCAAAAACAUACUAUAUCAAACCGCUAGCAGAAUACCUACUAUAUUAAAUCAAAACUCAGCAUACAUUCAAUUUCAUUAUAAAUCAAAUGCCUAUUUAUCUCAUUCAAAACUCAGCAUCAAUUCAAACUCAUUAUAAAUCAAAAACCUACUAUAUCAAACCACUAGCAGAAUACCUACUAUAUCAAUUCAAAACUCAGCAUACAUUCAGACUCAUCAUAAAUAAAAAAUCUACUAUAUCAAACAUCUAGCAGAAUGCCUACUAUAUCAAAUCAUCACCUACCAUAAAUUCAAUCUCAUCAUAAAUCAAAAGCCUACUAUAUCAAACAGAUAGCAGAAUAAAACCUCAUUCACUAAUAACAUCGAACAGAAAGUAUGCAUUUCUUGAUAAGGAAAUGUACUAAUACAUGUAUAAUUUUAUCAAACAGAAAUGUAUAAAUAGGAAACGUAUUAAUACAUGUAUAAUUUUAUCAAACUAUUAAAUAUAAUCAAAUCAAUUUUAAUUUAAAAACUGACUACAUUAAUCAAGUGGAAUUACAAGUAAAAUAGCAAAUCACAAGUUUAAUUGAAGAAAUUAUAAAAUAUCAAAAUGGAAUCACAAGUAAAAUCACAGAUCUUAGGUUUAUCACAAAUCAUAAUUUUAAUUGAAGAAAUCAUACAAGAUUAAGUGAAUCACAAGUAAAAUCACAAAUUAUAAAUUUAAUUGAACAAAUCAUACAAGAUCAAGUGGAAUCAUACCUGAUUCAUGGUGCGAGAAUAAUAGACUACUCAGCUUUGGUUGAUGAAUUCCAGCUCCUCCAUUUCCACUGGCGCUUCCACGAGUACUUAGCAUGAAUUUGCCAUUUGCUUGAAAUCAAUUUGAAAAUUGGAAAUGAUGAAAUUGAAAAUUAAAUAUGGUUUUAUAGGUAUACCAUCCAACAGAAUUUGCCAAAGGCUUUGUAGUUACACCAUACAGCAGAAUUUUGGACAAAGGUUUGAAAGAAAUCAAUAGUUUCAUGAUUGAUUUUAUAAGGUACUUCACAGUGAAUGAGCAUUCCAUGAAGAAUAUAACUUCUUUGAUCUCACACUCAAAAGGAACUGUCACACAUUCUAAUUUUGUAAACUGGUUGGUUUUCACCAUGUGUUUCUUGAAUCUUAAUAACCAAGUCACUGAUAAGAUAGCAGAAGAGAUUCUCUACUUUGCAAAGGUGGAAGACUAUUUACCAUCUAAAAUUCUUAUGCGACUAAAAAGGGAAUUUAUCGAGGGAAUCACCUUGGGGAAAAAGGUGAGUUAUAUUUCGAAUUGCCUUCAAAGAUUAGGUAACAAACUCAUUAGGAUUGAGUUGAAUGAAGAAUGUGAGGGCACAAUAAAAGUUCCAUCGACUGUUUUGAUUUAUUACCACACUUGGGAGAACCAAAUUUUGGUUUUUGAAUAUCUCUUUGCUGAAGAUGAUGGAAAAUAGAAGAAAAAAGAAAGCAGGAAUUCCAACUAAACUGAAAAGAAAAAUGCUGGAAAGAGAUGAUGAUUAUGAAGAAUUGAGAGGCAUAUCAAAGAAGUUGGAUGUAAUGGCUAGUAAUUUUCUUAGAGGUCAAGGAUCAUCAUCAUUUUUAAAAGUGAAAGGGGGUGUGAUUCAAUGGGAGUUAAUGAAAACCGAUUUCCCUUUGGACAAUGUGGAUAAUCUUACAGAGAAGAAGAGAAAAGGGAUGGAUCCUGUGAUAUGGUUCAGUUUCAUACUGGCUUAAUAAGUGGUAGUAUUUUAGUCUUUUUUAACACUAAGUGUCAGUGGUGUCCUCUAAAUAGUCUUACUGUUUCAAUACACUUUAACACUAAGUAAUGUCCUAUAAAUAGUGUUUUCUUGCCUUACUGUUUUUGUUUUAGUGUCAGUGAACUAAAGUGCAGUGUAAUGCUUUCACGUGUCUCAACUGCUUUUGGAUAUAUAUAUGAGUCAUGACUUCAUAUGUUGAUAUUCAACAACUGCUUUCACGUGUCAGUGUGUACUGCUUUUAGAUACUACUACUUAUUACUAUAUGUGAGUCAUGACUUCAUAUUCAACUAGUUAUAAGCUACUCCUAUAUAGAUAUAGAUUCACCUCGUGUCAGUGAAUGAUUUAAAUAGAUACUUCUACAUGAUUAACGUUUUUCACCUUGGCUUGUGUAAGGAAAAAAACAAAUAUAAGACAUGUUUGGGUUGUGUAAGCUCAUAAUUGAUAAAGAGAUUGUUUUCUCAUACUGAGUUUGGAAGUAUUUCAAAAACUUGGCCAAUUUAUUUUAUUUUCUUAUAACAUUUUAUUUAACUAUUUCAUACAAAAAAUGUUUUGGCUUAUAUAACUUCUUUCACAUGAAAUAAAAAAACAUUAAAUUACUUGUGUUUCAGAAAUCAUCUAUUUUUUCAAACACUAAACCUUAGACCAAAAGCCUAUUUAUCUCAUUCAAAACUCAGCAUACAUUCAAACUCAUCAUAAAUCAAAAACCUACUAUAUCAAACCGCUAGCAGAGUACCUACUAUAUCAAAUCAAAACUCAGCAUACAUUCAAUUUCAUCAUAAAUCAAAAGCCUAUUUAUCUCAUUCAAAACUCAGCAUACAUUCAAACUCAUCAUAAAUCAAAAGCCUACUAUAUCAAACCACUAGCAGAAUACCUACUAUAUCAAUUCAAAACUCAACAUACAUUCAAACUCAUCAUAAAUCAAAAACCUACAAUAUCAAACAUCUAGCAGAAUGCCUAAUAUAUCAAAUCAUCACCUACCAUAAAUUCAAUCUCAUCAUAAAUCAAAAGCCUACUAUAUCAAACCGCUAGCAGAAUAAAACCUCAUUCACUAAUAACAUCGAACAGAAAUUAUGCAUUUCUUGAUAAAGAAAUGUACUAAUACAUGUAUAAUUUUAUCAAACAGAAAUGUAUAAACAGGAAACGUAUUAAUACAUGUAUAAUUUUAUCAAACUAUUAAGUAUAAUCAAAUCAAUUUUAAUUUAAAAACUGACUUCACUAAAGUGGAAUCACAAGUAAAAUAACAAAUCAUAAGUUUAAUUGAAGAAAUUAUAAAAUAUCAAAGUGGAAUCACAAGUAAAAUCACAGAUCUUAGGUUUAUCACAAGUAAAAUCACAAAUUAUAGGUUUAAUUGAACAAAUCAUACAAGAUCAAGUGGAAUUAUACCUGAUUCAUGGUGCGAGAAUAAUAGACUACUCAGCUUUGGUUCAUGAAUUCCAGCUCCUCUGUUUUCAGCUCCUCCGUUUCGCUUUCACGAGUAGUUAGCAUGGAAUUUGUCAGAAACUAAUUAUAAAUAUUAUAAAAUAUUCAAAUAAAUUCAAAUGAAAUGAAUAAAUUAUUAAAACAAAUUAAAAUUGUAAAAUAAAAUGUAAAACAAAUUUAGAAACAAAUUAUCAUUAUCAUUUUUUAUAAAUUCAUAUCUUAAUUUAUCAAACAAAAAUUAAUUUGUCAAUACUUAUUUAAACAUAACAUAAAAAAACUUUCUUGCCAGAAAUUUAAAAAUAAUAAUUAAAACUAAAUCUUUCAUGACAAAAAUCUCUAAACCUACUAGCACUUAAUGUAAUGCAACAAAUGUCGAUUAUGGACAUGUGGUGUACAUGAAUAUGAAUGGUUAUGAAUGAAGGGCAUGUGGUGUACAUGAAUAUGAAUGGUUAUGAAUGAAGGGCAUGUGGUGUACAUGAAUAUGAAUGGUUAUGAAUAAAGAUCAUUUUUUUUUAUGUGAAUUGGUAAAUAGAAAUUUUUUUAAUGAAAAUUAAAUUAAUGACAUUAAAAUGAAAUUGAAAAAACUGGAAUAAUGUAUGAAUAAAAAUCUCUAAACCUACUAGCACUUAAUGUAAUGCAACAAGUGUCGAUUAUGGACAUGUGGUGUACAUGAAUAUGAAUGGUUAUGAAUGAAGGGCAUGUGGUGUACAUGAAUAUGAAUGGUUAUGAAUGAAGAGCAUGUGGUGUACAUGAAUAUGAAUGGUUAUGAAUGAAGAUCAUAUUUUUUUUAUGUGAAUGGGUAAAUAGAAAAAAUUCUAAUGAAAAUUAAAUUAAUGACAUUAAAAUGAAAUUGAAAAAAAUAAAAUAAUGUAAGAAUCUGAAUGCUCAUGAAUAAAGAUCAUGUUUUUUAUAUGAAUUGGUAAAUAAAAAAAAUCUAAUGAAAAUUAAAUAAACGCCAUUAAAAUGAAAUUUUUUAAAAAAAUGGAAUAUAUCAAACCGCUUUCAGGAUACCUAUUCUAUCCAUUCAAAACUCAGCAUUCAUUCAAACUCAUUUUAAAUCAAAAGCCUACUAUAUCAAACAUUUAAGAGAAUGCCUACUAUAUCAAAUCAUCACCUACCAUAAAUUCAAUCUCAUCAUAAAUCAAAAACCUACUAUAUCAAAC